rnacentral:rRNA from 1 species
UACGUAGGUGGCAAGCGUUGUCCAGAUUUACUGGGCGUAAAGAGCGCGCAGGCGGUCGUCCAAGUCGCGUGUGAAAGCCCCCGGCUCAACUGGGGAGGGUCACGCGAUACUGGUCGACUCGAAGGCAGGAGAGGGUAGUGGAAUUCCCGGUGUAGUGGUGAAAUGCGUAGAUAUCGGGAGGAACACCAGUGGCGAAGGCGACUACCUGGCCUGUUCUUGACGCUGAGGCGCGAAAGCUAGGGGAGCAAACGGG